GAGACCUCAGGUCAGGCGGGACUACCCGCUGAAUUUAAGCAUAUCAAUAAGCGGAGGAAAAGAAACUAACAA
rnacentral:rRNA from 2 species